GAGAAGAGAGGAGAGAGAGACAGAGAAAGUGAGAGAGAGAGUGAAAGAGGGAGAGAUGGAGUGUGUGUCAUGACAAAAGCUCCUCUGAUAAAGAGUUGUGUUAUAUAAGCAGGAGUUUGAAUAAUGAGGUGUGUGUCAGUGAUGGCGAGCGAGCUGUGUUUAUUCUCAGAGAGGACGCCGGGGGGUUAAGCGAGCUUGUGGUUGCUCCGAGGUCGAGGUUACUCUGUUUGUCAAAAUUGCACUGAUGUGUUUUUUUUUCUUUCCCUUAACUGUUUAUUUUUUAGUUCAUUCAUUGUUUUUUUUAGCGCUUUGUGUGGGAGUUUGUGGGGGAGGAGAGAGUCGCUCGCUGGUUGGGUAGCCGCAGGUAGCUCACUCUCAGGAGGCAUCUGGCCUGGUGGGGGGGCAGGUAGCUCACUCUCAGGGGGCAUCUGGCCUGGUGGGUAGCCGCUAGUAGCUCACUCUCAGGAGGCAUCUGGCCUGGUGGCGUUGCAGGCAGAGGGAGGGGAGGACAUGCAGUAAUCAAUUGCAUUUCAUUUUCACGCCCCAGAAUAUGCAAUUCCACACAUUUGCAAACCCAGCUUAGAGUCUGCUGAAGAAUAUGGGAAAAGGGCUUACCCCAGGCAGAUUGGUAUUUCAGCCUCUUCAACCAUGACGCUUUCAAACCACUCUCUCUCACACACACACAC
ensembl:lncRNA